rnacentral:lncRNA from 1 species
CCCUCCCUUCUUAAUUUGUUCCACAUCUCAACCUGAUAAGGAUACAUCUCAUCUAAUUUAAAUUCAUGUUUGAAUCAAACCUUAUCAGGAAGAGUCCCAGAUAAGAUAGGGUGCCAACUAUUGGCGCCCCCUUAUCUUUCAAGCUUGCUAGGGCAAUGGAUGUGUGCCCUCCCUCUUUUCUACAUGAAACAAGAUAGAGAAGCCCAGUAGAGGGUUAGUUGGCUUCCUAUUUUAAUUAAAUUUUAAAUUAGAUUUGAUUCGAAUCCAAUUUGAGCCCGAUUC